GAACCAUGAUCACACCAUUUCACUGCAGCCUGGGCAACAGAGUGAGAUCUUGUCUUAAAUAAAUAAAUAACACAUUGAACAAAAUAUAUUACAGGAGAAACUCCUAGAUAAAUUGGAUAUGAGAGAUGCUGUGCACUUCCAGGGUGCUAUGAUUCUCCAUUCUUUCUAUGAACCUUAAUGCUAUGGCCAAGUAAGACAGUGUCCUACUAAUGCCUUUCGUUGUGUUAGGGCAGGUUUAAUUGCUUGUCAAACCAGUUGGUUUACUGGAUGUCAAGCCUCCCUGGGGAGGCAAGGAUUGUGCCAAGUUCUUUGCCAUCCAGAUGUUCAGGGGAUGGAGCAUUCCCUGGAGGGACCUACCCUACCCCACCCUAGAAAGCUGCUGGACCUUGGCAUGUGAGAAAACCUGGGCUCCUCCAGAUUUACAUGGCGAGGGAGUGGGAGCUGCCCUACCUGCCAGUUCGGCUGCCCAAAGUCCCAUCCUACACAGGUUUGAUAGCUCCCUAGGAAUAGACUUUGGCAUGGGCCCCUAAAGUUGUCUGGUAGAGACAUUCAUAUUGGGCACAGUCUAUGGCAGCCCACCAGGCCUUACAGCACUUCUCUGGCUCUGGUGUUUGCCGUAUCCUGUCUGCUAGAUUGUGAGGUUCCCUAGGAUAAAUAUAGAUUAAAAGCCGACUUCCUCUGGGAAGCUUUCCAAAACUAGGCCCUCCCCCACAACCCCAGACGUGAGCUUCUAGCUCCAAAAUCCACAGUAUGGAUUGUGACUUCUCUUCUAGUGGAAACCACUUUCUAAGUUGAAUUAUAACUGUUUACACAUGCGUCUUAUCUCUAGCUCUCUUACUUGCUCAUUCCAUUCUCAUUUUAAUUCUUUCUGUCCCCAGCACCUGUGUGUUGUCAAUUUUUAAAUCCAUUUGUUCAAUCAUUUACUCAUUCAUUCAAAAAUAUUAAUUGAGCACAUAUUCAGUCCCUGUUCUCAUUGAACUCUCUCACAAUCUAAUGGGUGAGGUAGACUGUAAUCAAGAUGUGCUGUAUAAUAGGGAGGGAGGGAGAUGACGUGCUGAGAGUACAGAAUAUUGAGAUACGACCCAAGCAGGUUAGGGAAGACUUCCCUGAGGAGAGAAGAAGAGUGACUAGGAAACAGCUGGGCAAGCAGUGGGGAGGAAUGUGUUCCAGGGAAAAAGGAAUAGCACGUGCGAAGAUCCUGCGGUAGGAGAAGCCAUGGUAUCUGCUGGAACACGAAAGAGCACAGUAGUGUGGCCAGGCAGGGAGGAGCAAGGGGGCAAGAUAGGGCUGGAGAGAAAAGAAAGGAUGAGUGAUCAAUUGGAUGACUAAUUAAAUUCAUGAUUCAAUGAAUCAAUGAGUGAAUGAGAAUAUUCCCUGCCUCUUCACUGGGAAUUAUGUAGGAGCAUUGGUUUGAAAGCCAAGCAAGUGGAGCUCCCGUCACCUUUCUACCACUAGCUCUUCUGUGGUAUAGGAUUAAUCAGCCCCCUUUCUGAGCCUCAGCAUGUUCAUCUUUCAUGAUGAUAGAGGAGGGUAUGGUCAUUGCUGUGAUUUUUUUUGUUACUGUUUACUGUGGAUGCUGCUUGUAAGGUUUACUAUGGGAGGUGCUGAUGGAAGUUUUAAGCUUCUACCAGAUUUCAUAAAAGCGAAUGCCUCCAAAGGCUGUGCUGGUCCCACAAAUGUAUCUAGCCAGCCCGUUGUUAAACAGUGGGGUUGAUGUGCUGCCUCACACUUGCCUUGCACCACACCCUGCCGGGUAAGGCCGCACAUUCCAGAUCCUGUUGGUCUGCAAGCCACCGGUCAGGGCACAGGCACUCUAUGCAGUGACAUAUCUACUAAGGAAUCGUCUGAGAAUGAACUCCUUCAGUCAAAGCAAAUACAAAUUAAGGUAAAUGAAAUGUUGAAAGUCACAAGUCAUGUGAAUAGGAGGCUCUGCUGCCUUUGUACCUUAAGACAGAAUGACCUUGGUCCCUGCCUGUGAUGCAAUCUUCCCAGAGUUCCCGUCCAGACACAUGACUGGCCCUCAAGACAGCCAUGCAUUCUGCCCUUUGUCUCCAAAGGCCACUUUCUGACCCUUUCAGCCAUUCACCAAACAAUUAGCAGUGCUCCUGGUGUGCCACACCCUCUGCAAAGAACCCUUGGGAGAAGACUUGAACUUGGUUUUGCCUUCCAGGAGUUUCGAGUUCAGUGAGGGAGACAAACAAGUCUCCAUCUACAAUGGAAUACAGCGUGCAAAUGUCCUGUAGAAGCUCACUCAUUCACUCACUCAGUCAGCCAACAAAUAUAGACGAGAGCCUCUCUCAGGCAAGGCACUGUUUUUGCUCUAACAGGAGCUUAAUUUUCAAGUCCUAUUUAUAUAUACAUGCAUUAUAUGAAGCAUUAGAUGGUAAGAUGGAGAAAAAUUCAGCAGAGAAAUAACAUGGGAAGAGCUGAGAAAGAGGCCAUGUUGUGAUUUUGAACAGGAUGGUCCGGGUAGUCUUUAUUGAUCAAAUGACACGGGCCAACUUGGGAAGCCAGGGAGCCUGUGGAUGAUGUGUCUAUAUAAUGGGGAGCAAAGUACUAUAUGACCUUUUGUCCAAGGAUCUGCAGGAGGCAGGAUAUCUCUUUCCUCCGCUGAUGUAGAAGGGACUAGAAUGAUGAGGGCUAAAGGUCUAGGAUGCCAGCCUGGCUUUCCUCAGACCCAUGACCCCUUGGUGUAAUUGAAUUAAGGAAAAGUCUCAGAGUGCCUCAACUACUUCCUAAGCCCCUACCUAACUGCAUGUAGGUCUAACUGUCUGUACCAUAAAUUAAUAUAUUCCUGUAGUAGACAGACUAAAGGUCCCCCAAAGAUCUCCUCAUCCUAAACUCCAGAACCUGUGAAUAUGUUUUAUUCCAUAGUAAAAAGAACUUUGCAAGUGUGAUUGAGUUACGGGUCUUUAUGGGGGCAAUCAUCCUCAGUUAUUUAGGUGGGCCAGAUAUAAUCACAGGGUCCGCAUAAGAGGGAGGCAGGAGGGUCAGAAUCCGAGGAGGAGAAGUCACGUCGGAAGCAAAAGUCAGUGUGGUGCAGGGCAACAAGCCAAGGAACUUGGGCGACCUCUGGAAACUGGGAAAAGAACGGAACUGAUUCUCCCCUGCAGCUUCCAGAACAAACACUGUCCUGUCGACACCUUGAUCUUAGCCCCAGAGACCCAUUUCCAACUUCUGACUGCCAGAAAGGUAAGAUAGCACAUUUGAGUUAUUUUAUGCUGCUUAAUUUGUGCUAAUUUGUUACAGUAGCAAAAAGAAAUUAAAACAAUUACCAGAUUAUUUUGUUUGAUAAAAAUACACAUAGCAGUUUACAGAACUCUGGGUCUCUUUACAGAUGACAAUUCAUCAUUGAAUCCCCAAAAGCAGGCAUCAAGCACACCUGCAUCCAGACCGACCACCACUGUUCCUGCACUCCGCGGCAGUAGCCACAGGUGGCUUGGAGCUCCAGCAUUAGACAGCAAAGCUCUAGUGAUUUAGCCAGCAUGAAAUAAAUGAUUCCUCAUUCUCAUCA